rnacentral:rRNA from 1 species
AAGACCUAGUUGACAACACGGCGUAAGGGUGGUUAAGGGAUAUAUGAAAUAAAGCCAAAGACCUUCUAAGCCGUCAUACGCACCCUGAAAGUACGAAGCCCCUACACGAAAGUAGCUUUAAACCUAUGAACGCCCCUGACCCCACGAAAGCUAAGAAACAAACUGGGAUUAGAUACCCCACUAUGA